GCAAAUGAUGGUAUUGCAAUACGAGCUAUAUAAUACGGAAUCAGAUGAGGAAUGGUCGAUCCGGCUUCAGCUGCCUUUUGUAGGAAUCCUCUAUAGAUCCCCGCUCUUGGGAAUCUAAUGCCCUCAAAUGCACAACUCGGCAGCCGACGAGCAAGCUGAUAAAGCAUUCCUUGCAGAGACUUAAUGGGUACAUUCUGUAUCUCCAUCUGCAUCUUUCUGUCUGCCUUUUAUUUUUUUUUCCCUUAGCAUGCUUGGAGGAAGGGUUAACUUGCUUCAGCUGAAUAGGACAAAAUGGAAAGAGACUUCAGGACAACUAUACCUCAAAACACACUGGACUCCUUGAAGGAGGAGGAGGCAGCUUCA